rnacentral:sRNA from 1 species
UCACUAUCACAAAAUGGCGGCUACCGCCUAC